rnacentral:rRNA from 1 species
AUUGAACGCUGGCGGCAGGCUUAACACAUGCAAGUCGAGCGAGCGGCGGACGGGUGAGUAAUGUAUGGGGAUCUGCCCGAUAGAGGGGGAUAACUACUGGAAACGGUGGCUAAUACCGCAUACUAUAGGAUGAACCCAUAUGGGAUUAGCUAGUAGGUGGGGUAAAGGCUCACCUAGGCGACGAUCUCUAGCUGGUCUGAGAGGAUGAUCAGCCACACUGGGACGGAGACACGGCCCAGACUACUACGGGAGGCAGCAGUGGGGAAUAUUGCGCAAUGGGCGCAAGCCUGAUGCAGCCAUGCCGCGUGAAUGAAGAAGGCCUUCGGGUUGUAAAGUACUUUCGGCAGGGAGGCGUUACCCGCAGAAGAAGCACCGGCUAACUCCGUGCCAGCAGCCGCGGUAAUAC